rnacentral:siRNA from 1 species
UUAAAUUAAAUCUGCUAUAAUUUA